AUUCUAAAUUAUAAUAUAUAAUAAAUAUUUAUAUAUAUAUAAUUAUUUUAUUAUUAUAAUAUAUAAAUAUAU
rnacentral:tRNA from 1 species